UGUCAAAGGCUAAACCCGACAUAAGGGGCAGAGGUGGACGCCGCUGGUGUUCGCCCCUCUUCCUCCUGCUCCUCUGCUUCAGGUGUUGAGAGAAAUGUGCCUUUGCCGUCGCAAAGUGGUGUCAUCUCAGCCCCGUCGCUAUGGCCCCGCUGCCGGGCACAGAGGUUUGGGGACGGUCCCGUGUCCUGGGGUGCCGCCCUACCGCCGGCAUCUUCCCUGGAUGAGGAGGAGAGCAUGAGAAAAAUCAGCAUUGAUGGUGUGGGUAAAAGCUGCUUUCUCAGCACCCACUGAAGUCUUCAACUCAUAACUUCACUGGGAAAUAAAUGGGGCUUGGAAUUGCCCAGGGGUGAUCCUUUGAGCUCUAAGCUCUUAAGGAAGAAGUGCCCCAGGAUCUGCCAAGGUGAACAUCAGCAGAGGAAGCCAGUGAUGGGUGGACACCUACCAGAUUUGAGCAAUGCACUCAAAUGCCUUGAGAAGAGCUUCAUCAAACAUGGUACAGAGACUAGCCUCCAGUAGCAGCUAAGUAUAAAUACAUGUGAACUACACAAUAUGUAUUCAAAUACUAGGAUAAUAUAUAAAACCUCUGUUCUCCA